UGCCAGUGAGUGGAAACAGGCAAAAACCCCUCCCUCCCUGGUUGUAAAUCCCGUGACUUUCCCCAUGAGGACCUGAAAUAGCAUCUCCACGACAGGGGAUCUGACUACACGGUACAGCCUCAGCAAAGUUGCGCCCUGGUCAGGAAAUGCCAGGAAGCAUGGCAGCGAUUGCAGAGGCCCCGCAGUGACUGUGUAGACACGUCCAGAAUUCUUCCGUGCAGUACGGGGAGAGAGGAGAGUGAAGGCCUAGAAAGAGGCCCCAGCGGCUUAGAUCCCGGCACAGCUGGCUAUGCCUGUUUCAUUCCUGGAGGGCCUACUGUGUGCCAGGCCCUGGCAUCCAAAGCCAGUCCCCGCCCUUCCAGGAUCUUAGGCACCUGAGAGCAGACAGCCAAGUAUUAAACAACCGCCCAUCCAGCCUGUGGUAUUUCUUACGGCAGCCAUAGCAGACUAACAAAGCCAGCGUGGAGCCCUAAGCAAAGAAGAGAGGGAACUUGGCAGAGUCGGGAGUGGAAGCUGCAGGCAAGGAGGUUGGCUGAAGAUUGCAAAUUUACCAGAAACUUUGCUGUUUUUGAAAAUGAGCGGGCUAGAGGAACAGUCAGAAUUAGUGGAGAUUCAACAAUACCCUGGACGUUCAUUGACCAACUAUUACUGAUCAACUACUGUGUGCCAGGCUCUGUGAAGACACCAACUAGAUAGAGCUGAAUAGGACGCUGACCUUGCCUUCCAGAAGCUCACAAUCCAAUGGAAGAGCCAUUGCAUCUAUAAUAUCCAUCUGUCUGUCUAUCUAUCUAUCUAUCUAUCAUCUAUCUACCAUCUAUCUAUCUUUAUUUAUAUCUAUAUCUAUAUCUAUAUGUAGAUAUCUAUGUGUCUGUCUAUAUCUCUUUAUCUCCCUAUCUAUCCAUCUCUAUCUGUGUGUAGAUAACACAGAAAGAAAUGCAGUAUGAUGCCCAAGCAUCAUGAUAAAGGGGUGUGGAAGGUGUCAC